rnacentral:rRNA from 1 species
GUCCACGCUGUAAACGAUGGGCACUAGGUGUUCGGGGUAUUGACCCCCUGAGUGCCGCAGCUAACGCAUUAAGUGCCCCGCCUGGGGACUACGGCCGCAAGGUUAAACUCAAAGGAAUUGACGGGGGCCCGCACAAGCGGUGGAGCAUGUGGUUCAAUUCGACGCAACGCGAAGAACCUUACCUGGGCUAGACAACAUCGGACAACCCCAGAAAUGGGGCCUCCCCGCAAGGGGCCGUGGUUCAGGUGCUGCAUGGCUGUCGU